rnacentral:rRNA from 1 species
UUAAGCGACUAAGCGUACACGGUGGAUGCCCUGGCAGUCAGAGGCGAUGAAGGGCGUGCUAAUCUGCGAUAAGCGCCGGUAAGGUGAUAUGAACCGUUAUAACCGGCGAUACCCGAAUGGGGAAACCCAGUGUGAUUCGUCACACUAUCAUUAACUGAAUCCAUAGGUUAAUGAGGCGAACCGGGGGAACUGAAACAUCUAAGUACCCCGAGGAAAAGAAAUCAACCGAGAUUCCCCCAGUAGCGGCGAGCGAACGGGGAGGAGCCCAGAGCCUGAAUCAGCAUGUGUGUUAGUGGAAGCGUCUGGAAAGGCGCGCGAUACAGGGUGACAGCCCCGUACACAAAAGCGCAUGUGCUGUGAGCUCGAUGAGUAGGGCGGGACACGUGGUAUCCUGUCUGAAUAUGGGGGGACCAUCCUCCAAGGCUAAAUACUCCUGACUGACCGAUAGUGAACCAGUACCGUGAGGGAAAGGCGAAAAGAACCCCGGCGAGGGGAGUGAAAAAGAACCUGAAACCGUGUACGUACAAGCAGUGGGAGCACAGGUUUACCUGUGUGACUGCGUACCUUUUGUAUAAUGGGUCAGCGACUUAUAUUCUGUAGCAAGGUUAACCGCAUAGGGGAGCCGGAGGGAAACCGAGUCUUAAUUGGGCGUUAAGUUGCAGGGUAUAGACCCGAAACCCGGUGAUCUAGCCAUGGGCAGGUUGAAGGUUGGGUAACACUAACUGGAGGACCGAACCGACUAAUGUUGAAAAAUUAGCGGAUGACCUGUGGCUGGGGGUGAAAGGCCAAUCAAACCGGGAGAUAGCUGGUUCUCCCCGAAAGCUAUUUAGGUAGCGCCUCGUGAAUUCAUCUCCGGGGGUAGAGCACUGUUUCGGCUAGGGGGCCAUCCCGGCUUACCAACCCGAUGCAAACUGCGAAUACCGGAGAAUGUUAUCACGGGAGACACACGGCGGGUGCUAACGUCCGUCGUGAAGAGGGAAACAACCCAGACCGCCAGCUAAGGUCCCAAAGUCAUGGUUAAGUGGGAAACGAUGUGGGAAGGCCCAGACAGCCAGGAUGUUGGCUUAGAAGCAGCCAUCAUUUAAAGAAAGCGUAAUAGCUCACUGGUCGAGUCGGCCUGCGCGGAAGAUGUAACGGGGCUAAACCAUGCACCGAAGCUGCGGCAGCGACGCUUAUGCGUUGUUGGGUAGGGGAGCGUUCUGUAAGCCUGUGAAGGUGGCCUGUGAGGGUUGCUGGAGGUAUCAGAAGUGCGAAUGCUGACAUAAGUAACGAUAAAGCGGGUGAAAAGCCCGCUCGCCGGAAGACCAAGGGUUCCUGUCCAACGUUAAUCGGGGCAGGGUGAGUCGACCCCUAAGGCGAGGCCGAAAGGCGUAGUCGAUGGGAAACGGGUUAAUAUUCCCGUACUUGGUGUUACUGCGAAGGGGGGACGGAGAAGGCUAUGUUGGCCGGGCGACGGUUGUCCCGGUUUAAGCGUGUAGGUGUGUGUUCCAGGUAAAUCCGGUUCACUUUAACACUGAGGCGUGACGACGAGGCACUACGGUGCUGAAGCAACAAAUGCCCUGCUUCCAGGAAAAGCCUCUAAGCAUCAGGUAACAUCAAAUCGUACCCCAAACCGACACAGGUGGUCAGGUAGAGAAUACCAAGGCGCUUGAGAGAACUCGGGUGAAGGAACUAGGCAAAAUGGUGCCGUAACUUCGGGAGAAGGCACGCUGACACGUAGGUGAAGUGAUUUACUCAUGGAGCUGAAGUCAGUCGAAGAUACCAGCUGGCUGCAACUGUUUAUUAAAAACACAGCACUGUGCAAACACGAAAGUGGACGUAUACGGUGUGACGCCUGCCCGGUGCCGGAAGGUUAAUUGAUGGGGUCAGCGCAAGCGAAGCUCCUGAUCGAAGCCCCGGUAAACGGCGGCCGUAACUAUAACGGUCCUAAGGUAGCGAAAUUCCUUGUCGGGUAAGUUCCGACCUGCACGAAUGGCGUAAUGAUGGCCAGGCUGUCUCCACCCGAGACUCAGUGAAAUUGAACUCGCUGUGAAGAUGCAGUGUACCCGCGGCAAGACGGAAAGACCCCGUGAACCUUUACUAUAGCUUGACACUGAACAUUGAGCCUUGAUGUGUAGGAUAGGUGGGAGGCUUUGAAGUGUGGACGCCAGUCUGCAUGGAGCCGACCUUGAAAUACCACCCUUUAAUGUUUGAUGUUCUAACGUGGACCCGUUACCCGGGUUGCGGACAGUGUCUGGUGGGUAGUUUGACUGGGGCGGUCUCCUCCUAAAGAGUAACGGAGGAGCACGAAGGUUGGCUAAUCCUGGUCGGACAUCAGGAGGUUAGUGCAAUGGCAUAAGCCAGCUUGACUGCGAGCGUGACGGCGCGAGCAGGUGCGAAAGCAGGUCAUAGUGAUCCGGUGGUUCUGAAUGGAAGGGCCAUCGCUCAACGGAUAAAAGGUACUCCGGGGAUAACAGGCUGAUACCGCCCAAGAGUUCAUAUCGACGGCGGUGUUUGGCACCUCGAUGUCGGCUCAUCACAUCCUGGGGCUGAAGUAGGUCCCAAGGGUAUGGCUGUUCGCCAUUUAAAGUGGUACGCGAGCUGGGUUUAGAACGUCGUGAGACAGUUCGGUCCCUAUCUGCCGUGGGCGCUGGAGAACUGAGGGGGGCUGCUCCUAGUACGAGAGGACCGGAGUGGACGCAUCACUGGUGUUCGGGUUGUCAUGCCAAUGGCACUGCCCGGUAGCUAAAUGCGGAAGAGAUAAGUGCUGAAAGCAUCUAAGCACGAAACUUGCCCCGAGAUGAGUUCUCCCUGAGACUUAGAGUCUCCUGAAGGAACGUUGAAGACGACGACGUUGAUAGGCCGGGUGUGUAAGCGCAGCGAUGCGUUGAGCUAACCGGUACUAAUGAACCGUGAGGCUUAACCUU